GAUGAACGCUGGCGGCGUGCCUAAUACAUGCAAGUCGAGCGAACGGACGAGAAGCUUGCUUCUCUGAUGUUAGCGGCGGACGGGUGAGUAACACGUGGAUAACCUACCUAUAAGACUGGGAUAACUUCGGGAAACCGGAGCUAAUACCGGAUAAUAUUUUGAACCGCAUGGUUCAAAAGUGAAAGACGGUCUUGCUGUCACUUAUAGAUGGAUCCGCGCUGCAUUAGCUAGUUGGUAAGGUAACGGCUUACCAAGGCAACGAUGCAUAGCCGACCUGAGAGGGUGAUCGGCCACACUGGAACUGAGACACGGUCCAGACCCCUACGGGAGGCAGCAGUAGGGAAUCUUCCGCAAUGGGCGAAAGCCUGACGGAGCAACGCCGCGUGAGUGAUGAAGGUCUUCGGAUCGUAAAACUCUGUUAUUAGGGAAGAACAUAUGCGUAAGUAACUGUGCACAUCUUGACGGUACCUAAUCAGAAAGCCACGGCUAACUACGUG
rnacentral:rRNA from 1 species